UACGGAGGGUGCGAGCGUUGUCCGGAAUCAUUGGGCGUAAAGGGCGCGUAGGUGGCCCGGUCAGUCCGUGGUGAAAGCGCGGGGCUCAACCCCGCGUCGGCCAUGGAUACUGCUGGGCUGGAGCACUGUAGAGGCAGGCGGAAUUCCGGGUGUAGCGGUGGAAUGCGUAGAGAUCCGGAAGAACACCAGUGGCGAAGGCGGCUUUCUGGGUCCGCCCUGACGCUGAGGCGCGAAAGCGUGGGGAGCGAACGGG
rnacentral:rRNA from 1 species